rnacentral:misc_RNA from 1 species
GAUGAAGAACGUAGCGAAAUGCGAUACUUGGUGUGAAUUGCAGAAUCCCGUGAACCAUCGAGUCUUUGAACGCAAGUUGCGCCCGAAGCCAUCAGGUUGAGGGCACGUCUGCCUGGGCGUCACAUAUCGUUGCCCAAUGCCUAUUGCAGUGCAAUAGGAAUUUCUAGGGCGAAUGAUGGCUUCCCGUGAGCGUUGUUGCCUCGCGGUUGGUUGAAAAUCGAGUCCUUGGUAGGGUGUGCCAUGGUAGAUGGUGGUCGAGUUAGAACGAUACCGAUCAUGUGCAUGCUCCCCAAAAUAUGGCCUCUAUGACCCACACGCGUCUUUUGACGCUCAUGACGAGACCUCAGGUCAGGCGGGGCUACCCGCUGAAUUUACGCAUAUCAAUAAGCGGAGGA